rnacentral:rRNA from 1 species
GACGAACCGUCCUAACGUUGUUCGGAAUCACUGGGCUUAAAGGGCGCGUAGGCGGCUUGCCAAGUCAGGGGUGAAAUCCUGCAGCUUAACUGUAGAAGGGCCUUUGAUACUGGCGAGCUCGAGGGAGGUAGGGGUAUGUGGAACUUCCGGUGGAGCGGUGAAAUGCGUUGAUAUCGGAAGGAACGCCGGUGGCGAAAGCGGGUCUCUGGACAGUUCCUGACGCUGAGGCACGAAGGCCAGGGGAGCAAACGGG